CCUUUCUCAGUGCAUUUGGCUCACUGUCCUAUUUAGUGAGUAUCUCUAGCUUUCUGACCGUGACCAGAAGUUAUCUGAGUGAUGAGUCACCUCCUGGUCACAUCAUAACCUCCAUCUCUGUGGCCUUUGUGGCACAGCCAGGGGCAAAGGGUAUUAUAAGAACUGAAUGCAAAACCACAGUAUCGUGAAUACAUUAAGUAUUUAUAUCACCCCAAUGAGAAGAGCUACAGAACAUGAUCAUGCUAUCCAACUCCAAUUAAGUUUGCUUUCAUUUUUGGGAAUACAUCAUUUUUGGACUCUUUCCUAAGUUAUCUAAUCCAAAAAGCCAGAGCCACAUUCAACAGGCCCUGGAGUGCAGCCACGCCUCGGGGAGCCUGGGGGUAAUCACUCAGCCUCUCUCAGCUCCUCCUUCAUCUGUAAAAUACUGAUAAAAACACUUUUGUGUGGUUGCUGAGACCCAAGCAGUCCAGCACAGUGCCGGAUACAGAGAGGAGACGGACAGACUCAGCCACCGGAGCCCUUCUGACUCCACAGACCUGCCGUGCAGGACUGCAGUGGGAGGCAUUUGUUUCCUCAGCACAGGAGGAGACAAACCUCCUACAGAUGAGGAAGCCAAAGUCAAAAGAGUUAGAAGUACCCAAGGUCACACUUCUAAGAAGGUUUGAUGUUUGGGCAGUCAUACUUGUCUCCCCAGACUUUAGUGAGACAACUCUCCAGUCUUGAUGACCAACUGGGUACGACUCUUAGCUGGCCAAAUCCCUCAGUCAGAAACAAAAACAUAAACUCAGUGAAGCCUGCUGAUUCUAUUCUCGACCUAUGUCGUCUAACGGCAGGAUCUCUGUGGCACUUUUGGAGUAAGAAGCAAGGUGACAUUUACAAGCCCAGUGCUGAAAGCGGAUGAGACUUUACAGGUGACAUGAACGACCUCAGGGACAGAUGCUACUCUGGACCCUCUGGGAUGGGAAGACCCAUGUUCGAGUUGCAGCUUCCUUAGCGGCCAAGAGCUGUGUGACCCGGGAAUCAGGGUUUCAUUCAUUAAGCGAACGUCAGGCAGCGGCCGGGUCUGUAACAGGGGUUGCAAACGCAGACGCCACCACUGCGAGCGGAAGACUCUCUACGUUGGUUCCUCUUAAUCCAUUCAGGUCUCCGCUCCGGUGUCAGGCCUGGGAACCCCUCACUCUGGAGCAGCCCCCAGGUCCGGCCCCUCUUCACAGACUGUGUUCAAACGCCGCACCCGCCGCAGCGCCCGGACACCGUGAGUGCUCAACGAAAUCGGGACGAAACGUCUGCGAGAGGAGCCCCGGGCAGGAUCCCGGCGGCGUGGAGCUGACGGUGCCGGCGCGCUGACAGGGGCGGGGGGCCUGCCGUCCCCAGGGAGCCGAGUAUGGGGAUGCCCUGAACUUUAACGGCCGGUCUCUCGGGCAGGAAGGCUCUAAGGCCCAAGCGGAGAAGCCUUCCUUCCCCGCGCGAGGCCUCUCGGCCC
rnacentral:lncRNA from 1 species